ACGUACAUGAUAAACAGAAAUAAUAAAUAUAUAAAUUCAUUUUUGAAGCAUAGAAAUCAUCCUUAUCAUUUACUUAACAUGGUCACUUUCUUUGAAAACAUAACACUUGUAACCAUUUGAAACACCUCUGCAAAUUUUGACUCAUCUUAAAAUUUUGAUAUUUUUCUCAAAACUUAGAGGCCAAGAAAACCCCUUAUAAAACUAUACGUUUCCUUUUCAAAAUCAAACCACACCUAAUUCAUUUUUUUCUUUCUGUCACCCUCUACAAUAUUUAUCGACAACUCUCCUCAAGUUUUGCUUACACAUUGAGGACUCCGUGAUCGUAGAUGUAAUCUAUUAUCUCAGUUGUGAUCAUCGCUUAAGGUACGGACCCCUCUCCACAUAUGUGUACAAGUUUAGGUUUCCACUACCCAGUAGUCAGAAAGACUAAACUCGUUAUUUUGUUAUAUUAUUAUGUGGUACGGACUCUUAAACAACUUUAUGUGCACAAAUUUAGGUUUCCACUACCUCGUAGUUGAAGAUUUACAUUUGUUAUUUUACUGCUUUUGUGAUCUUUAAGAUUAUGUGCUAUUAUAAUUAAAUAUUAGUUAUAUUGUUUUAGCAAAUAUUGAUUAUGACACACUGAAGCACUGAUGGUGUCGCACCGAAAGGUGACGCACUGAAAAACUGAAUACUGAAUGUGAUUUUGUGACGCAUUGAAUGUGAACUGACUACGCAUUGAACUACUGAAUGUGACGCACUGAAGGUGACUAACUGAAUAUGUUAUAUGUAUUGUUUGAUAUAUAGAUAUCGUUAAGAAAAUAUAUAUUGCGUUGUUGUCCCACUGAGUAAACCCCGUUUACUCAGGCGUACAUUUGCCUUGUUAUGUACGUUAGGUUGCAAGGAUUGUCGGGAAGACUUGGAUGGAUGGUUCGAGGGAUUAAAGACGCACAUGGAUUUUCUUUAAAAGUUUAAAUUGUUUUGUACAAUAUUUCGAAUUUUUGAAAUAAUGUAAGUUUUAUAAUUUAGGGAGGGAUGUUUUGACCUCUGAUGUACUGUAUAAGUAACACGUCAACCCGAGCCGGGUUGGGGUGUUACAGUCAGUGUGGCGCACGCGCGCAUGGGAGUGAGCCAAAAUGGCGCACGCGCGCAUGAGCGUGCAGACUUGCACGCGCAAGGGCGCGCGCGCAGAAGCUUCCAGCAUGGAAUUAUACUGCAGUUAAAGUUCAGCUUUGAAACCGCCGAGUCAAACGGUUUUGACUGAGAAUUAAAUGACGAAUUAAAUUGCAUUGAAGACGUUUAAUGCAAUUUAUUCCUCUCAUUUAAUUUGAUUUUGGCUGUAUAAAUACAGCCUCUUAGUCACUGCAGAAGAGACCAGCAACACAACAGCAAAUUCAACUUUCUCUCAACAGCUUUCUGAUCUUCUACUUGCUCUCUUCAAGGUAGCCUUCGGGUUGUAGGGCAGCUCCGGUAGUACUACUGCUCUGGCUGUUGUACCCUGGGAAAUAAAACGAGUACUCCUGGGAGACUCGGAAUUUGUUUUAAGGGAAGAGUGUUGAACACAUGCCUCAGUCUUCGAUUUCAUCCUUUUCUUGUAUUUCCUUUAUUUCAGUUGUAAUUGUAAUAGUAUUUCUGCUUU